GACGAACGCUGGCGGCGUGCUUAACACAUGCAAGUCGAACGGAAAGGCCCUGCUUUUGUGGGGUGCUCGAGUGGCGAACGGGUGAGUAACACGUGAGUAACCUGCCCUUGACUUUGGGAUAACUUCAGGAAACUGGGGCUAAUACCGGAUAGGAGCUCCUGCUGCAUGGUGGGGGUUGGAAAGUUUCGGCGGUUGGGGAUGGACUCGCGGCUUAUCAGCUUGUUGGUGGGGUAGUGGCUUACCAAGGCUUUGACGGGUAGCCGGCCUGAGAGGGUGACCGGCCACAUUGGGACUGGGAUGCGGCCCAGACCCCUACGGGGGGGAGAGGUGGGGAAUAUUGCACAAUGGGGGGAAGCCGGAUGGAGCAACGCCGCGUGGGGGAUAACGGCCUUCGGGGUGUAAACCGCUUUCGCCUGGGACGAGGCGUGAGGGAGGGUAAUGGGAAAAGAAGCACCGGCUAACUACGU
rnacentral:rRNA from 1 species